ACGAAUAAGCACCGGCUAACUCCGUGCCAGCAGCCGCGGUAAUACGGGAGGGUGCGAGCGUUAAUCGGAAUUACUGGGCGUAAAGCGCAUGCAGGCGGCCUGUUAAGUCAGAUGUGAAAGCCCGGGGCUUAACCUCGGAAUUGCAUUUGAAACUGGCAGGCUAGAGUCUUGUAGAGGGGGGUAGGAAUUUCAGGUGUAGCGGUGAAAUGCGUAGAGAUCUGAAGGAAUACCAGUGGCGAAGGCGGCCCCUGGACAAAGACUGACGCUCAGAUGCGAAAGCGUGGGGAGCAAACAGGAUUAGAUACCCUGGUAG
rnacentral:rRNA from 1 species